UACGAAGGGGGCUAGCGUUGUUCGGAAUCACUGGGCGUAAAGGGCGCGUAGGCGGCUUUAUAAGUCAGGGGGUGAAAGCCUGUGGCUCAACCACAGAAUUGCCUUCGAUACUGUAGGGCUUGAGACCGGAAGAGGUUAGUGGAACUGCGAGUGUAGAGGUGAAAUUCGUAGAUAUUCGCAAGAACACCAGUGGCGAAGGCGGCUAACUGGUCCGGUUCUGACGCUGAGGCGCGAAAGCGUGGGGAGCAAACAGG
rnacentral:rRNA from 1 species